CAGUCGCGCGGUAAAACCAGCAGCCCAAGUGGUGGUCGCGAUUAUUGGGCCUAAAGCGCUCGUAGCCGGGCCGGUAAGUCCCUUGUGAAAUCGGACGGCCUAACCGUUCGGCGUGCAAGGGAUACUGUCGGUCUUGAGGCCGGGAGACGUCCGAGGUACUCCGGGGGUAGCGGUGAAAUGUUCUGAUCCUCGGGGGACCACCGGUGGCGAAGGCGUUCGACGAGAACGGGCCUGACGGUGAGGGGCGAAGGCUAGGGGAGCAAACGGGAUUAGAUACCCCAGUAGUCCCUGUCUCUUAUAC
rnacentral:rRNA from 1 species